rnacentral:lncRNA from 10 species
AAAUCAUUCAAGAAGCCCAGCAUGUAAAACAAAUAUGGCUGGAGCUGCUCUGGAUGCAAACAGGGUCAAUGUGAGGAGUCCUACAACUCAGCCACCCUUUCCCUGGGCAGCUGGGCCCUGAGUUUUUUCUGGGGAAGGAUAGCCAAAACACAGCUCCCAGAGCACCCAGUCUCACCCAGAACACAGGUGAGCUUCCGGGUACAUCAGAGGUACAUUUCCCACCCAGAAGGGAUGCAAGUUCAUUUUCACACAGGCCAAAAAGAAACCCAGUUUUAUCUGGUGGUGAUUUAUUCUUUCUCUCCCUAGCCACUUCUCUUGAGCCGAGUCUCCAGCCUCUGUGGGUUUAAUCUCUUACUAAUCCUCCACCUCCCCUCCAGCAUCUUUAGCUGACACUCUUUCCUCCUGGCAGAUGAUCACCACAGGCCUUUAAGGGAUGGUAAAAUGAGCCAGGAAAUAAUCAGAGGCCCCAAGGCUGCUUUAGGUGAUGUUUGUUGGGUCUCACCCCCACUUCCUCGGAGCUUCAGGUUUUCCAUUCAAGCUCAUGGAUGCCACACCCGGGGCAUUCCAGCUGAGCUCUUUGUAGCUAGCUGAGCCAGAGUUUGUAGACAGCUGGAGAAAAAAAUGUGCUGAAGAAGCAAGACCUCCAUGCUGUCAUCCUGUUGGGACUCACCCCAAUAGCCUCAGCCGGCUCUAGCUUUAGUGGGUGCUGAGAUGGUCUGCCCUGAGCAGUGAAAAAUGUCAGGGGAGUGAGCAACAACAAAAGCCUGCAUCCUUUCUCUCACUCCAUCCUGGAGUUGAGAAUGACUGCAGAAUGAGCAACUAUCCAGGAUACAGGAUAUACUUGUCAAAGUGAGAAAGGUACCUACAGGCCAUUUGGAAUGACUCAUGAGAUUCCUACCUGAUAAAGGAAUGUCUCAGCCCUUCCUGGAUAUGUAUUAGGGGAUGCUUAACUCUAGAAAACCCUCCUCAAAUGCCACAGAUGGCAAACUCCAGGCUGUGUGUGUUUUCCAAGUAGGGAAAACCAAGGAUAUAGAAGGCGAGCUGCAUUCUAAAAUGAUACUGAGACACAUGUUUUCAAGUGCAGAUUCUGGAUUAAAAUGGUAUUAAAUGAAAUAAGCAGGAGGCUAUUGGCUUGAGGCUGAGUCUGUACUUUGAGUCUUUAAUUAACAAACUGCAACCUAGUUUAGUAAGUAAACAAAUUGGAAGUCUAAUAGGAGCAUAACAGUGGAGUCUCAGCCAAUCACAAGCAGCCAUGCUUUAGCCAAUCACAGGAAGCUGAUUGAUCAGACCAUGUCCAAACAAGACAAAUGCUGAGAUGUAACCAAUAAAGCUCUUUCUGUCCUUUACUUCCUGUUCUGUUUAUAAAUACUGCCCACACUGCAGAGUGAAUUUCUCUGAAUCUCUUCUAGUUAAGUG